AGAGUUUGAUCAUGGCUCAGGAUAAACGCUGGCGGCGUGCCUAACACAUGCAAGUCGAACGAUCCCGCAAGGGAGAGUGGCGGAAGGGUGAGUAACACGUGGGAAUCUACCUCCUCGCAGGGAACAACCUCUCGAAAGAGAGGCUAAUACCCAAAAGGGUCAGAAAUGAUCAGAGUCGAAAGGCGUGAGGAGAGGAGCCCGCGGCCCAUCAGCUAGUUGGUGAGGUAAUGGCUUACCAAGGCUACGACGGGUAGGGGAUCUGAGAGGAUGUCCCCCACACUGGAACUGAAACACGGUCCAGACGCCUACGGGUGGCAGCAGUGAGGAAUAUUGGACAAUGGGCGAAAGCCCGAUCCAGCAACGCCGCAUGGAGGAUGAAGGCCUUCGGGUCGUAAACUUCUUUAGAGGGAGACGAGAAAGGACGGUAUCCCUAGAAUAAGCGACGGCAAACUACGUG
rnacentral:rRNA from 1 species